rnacentral:rRNA from 1 species
CGCAGAGAAUAGGCCCAAGCGACUGUUUACCAAAAACAUAGGUUUCUGCUAAGUCGCAAGACGAUGUAUAGGAGCUGACGCCUGCCCGGUGCUGGAAGGUUAAGGGGAUCUGUUAGAGCAAUCGAAGCAGUGAACUUAAGCCCCAGUAAACGGCGGCCGUAACUAUAACGGUCCUAAGGUAGCGAAAUUCCUUGUCGGGUAAGUUCCGACCCGCACGAAAGGCGUAACGAUUUGGGCACUGUCUCAACAAUAGACUCGGUGAAAUUGUAAUCCCGGUGAAGAUGCCGGGUACCUGCGACAGGACGGAAAGACCCCAUGGAGCUUUACUGUAGCUUGACAUUGAGUCUCGGUGCUACAUGUACAGGAUAGGUGGGAGGCUAUGAAGCAUGGACGUCAGUUUGUGUGGAGCCAUCCUUGGGAUACCACCCUUGUAGUACUGGGAUUCUAACCAGCUGCCUUGAAUCAGGUAGUGGGACACUGUCAGGUGGACAGUUUGACUGGGGCGGUCGCCUCCCAAAAAGUAACGGAGGCGCUCAAAGGUUUCCUCAGCACGGUCGGAAAUCGUGCGAAGAGUGUAAAGGCAAAAGGAAGCUUGAUUGCAAGACAUACAGGUCGAGCAAGGACGAAAGUCGGACUUAGUGAUCCGGUGGUACCGCAUGGAAGGGCCAUCGCUCAACGGAUAAAAGCUACCCUGGGGAUAACAGGCUUAUCUCCCCCAAGAGUCCACAUCGACGGGGAGGUUUGGCACCUCGAUGUCGGCUCAUCACAUCCUGGGGCUGUAGUAGGUCCCAAGGGUUGGGCUGUUCGCCCAUUAAAGUGGUACGCGAGCUGGGUUCAGAACGUCGUGAGACAGUUCGGUCCCUAUCCGUCGCAGGCGUAGGAAAUUUGAGAAGACCUGUCCUUAGUACGAGAGGACCGGGAUGGACGUACCUCUGGUGUACCAGUUGUUCUGCCAAGGGCAUGGCUGGGUAGCUAUGUACGGAAUGGAUAAGCGCUGAAAGCAUCUAAGCGCGAAGCCAACUUCAAGAUAAGAUUUCCCACCGUAAGGGUAAGACCCCAGGAAGACUACCUGGUUGAUAGGUCGAAGGUGUAAGUGCAGUAAUGUAUUUAGCUUAUCGAUACUAAUAGGUCGAGGACUUGACCAA